CAGUGCAUGUCCUCUCGCGCAGGUGGUCACGUGCUCCUCUGUUGACUGAGGAGCAAUAAAAAAAUCUCAGCUCUGCAGCAGAGAGGCUAACAGCUAACAGCUAACAGUCCCGAGGAGAAACACAGCGGAGGGUUUAACACCGACUGGGACAUGAACACAUCGGUAUGAGUGAACCAGCAGCGGGCCGGUGACGUGCACAGGGUGAUCAGGUGUGUGUUGUGACAGCAGCAGGAUGCCCAUCCCUCCCCCUCCUCCACCAGGGGGACCCCCGCCUCCCCCCACCUUCAGCCAGCGGGAGGACUGACAAGCAAGUCAGCUGCAGAAAACCAGCGAAGAAGAAACGAUAUGCUGUCUGCUGACGUUUAGUUUAUUGCAGCAGAUAAAGAAAGACGUAGAUAGCUUCGUCUAACUCUGAACAAAGAUCCAACCACACGGCAACAGUUAGCAUCUCACACAGACACCAGACAGCCAGCAAGUGAACCAGCAAACAAACAACAACAACAACAACAGAAGGAAGGUUAGUCUCUGCAGGUCAUAAACAUGGUAUCUUACUGCAGCCAGUGGAUAUAUGUCCAUUAGUCAGACUACAUGUCUUAUUUUCCAUCUGUAGUCUGCAGGACAUGAAGAAUAACCAUGAUGAGUUAUCCUCAUCUAGAGAAGAAGAACCAGACAGAACCGUCACUGAUUCUUACUCUGUGUCUUGUAGUCAUGUCAGUAUUUAUUAAAAAUGAGUUUUCAAGUUGUACUUUGUGAGUCUGUGUGAAUACUUCCUGUGUGAGUGUGUAUGUAGGUGACCUCAGGCUGCUCUCUAAUUGG